rnacentral:lncRNA from 10 species
GGUAAUCUGCUUCUUUAGUUAAUAAUGUCUAUUUUUCAAUUCAGUAUUAUUUUAUCUCAUCAAACACCAGAGUAUAUUCACAUUUUUAUAAUUGUCUCAAAAAUGUUCCUUAUUGCAUUUAAUUGUUAUACCUCUAAGAUCUCUUUCAGUCUGCUGUGGUACAUUGUUUCAUGCACUAACGUGUCAGAAAGAAUGGACCAGUCAUCCAGGAGGGUGACUAAAUUAAACUAAGCUCCAU